GGAGAGCUGGCCGAGUGGCUGAAGGCGCACGAUUGCUAAUCGUGUGAGUGGGUAAAACUGCUCCGAGGGUUCAAAUCCCUCGCUCUCCGCCA
rnacentral:tRNA from 1 species